UUCCAGCUAUUUAACUGGCGAUCAAGUAUCUAGUGAAAGUUCAAUCGAGGCAUAUGUAAGGUGUUUACGCUGUGGAUGUCACUGUAUAGAAUUAGAUUGUUGGAAUAGACCAGACGGACUGCCAAUAAUAUACCAUGGGCAUACAUUAACCAGUCGUAUAAAAUGUUUAGAUGUCUUAAAAACGAUUAAAGAACAUGCUUUAAUUGCUUCGCCGUAUCCAGUUAGGUUAGGUCAGCGAAAUAUGACAUCAACUAUGAUUGAAGUAUUAGGGGUCAAUCGUUACAGAACACACAUCUACUAACGGAGUUCAACUCUGAAAGUCGCAAACUACAAGAAGAGAAAUGAAACUACCACAUGACGAACUGGAACCCUUGACAAGAUAACCCAGUUAUAACAGAAAUGGUCCGAAGAAAAACCUUGAUUGCCCGCAAGCAACAUUUUGGAGUGAACAGUGCUACCUUGGUAGGUAAGGACAUUGAUUUAAGAACCACAAAAUAAAAUGGAAUACUUUAUCUAGAAGAAGAUCUGCUGGAAAAAGAAUGGAGACCUCACUUUUUUGUACUUUCUGAUAACAAGCAUUAUUCUACAGACCUCUGUAAAUCAGAUAUUGGUAAUAAAGAUGAAGCAGAUGGAAGAUAGUUGGAAAUUAGUGAUCUAUCUAGUGAAAAUCGAUUAAGAGAAGGUAUACCUAAUAAUGAAUUACAUUUUGGAGAAUACUGGUUUCAAGGAAAAUUAGCUCGUGAUAGAAAUGAAGCUGAAGAACUAUUGAAAUAGUAUCAGCAUUUUGUAGUCUGUACAUUUCUUGUAAGACAAGGAGAUACAUCAUUGGCCAUUAUUCUCUAUCAUUCAGGAAUGCUAUAUUAUUUUGAACGAACCUGUACCUCAGUAUGAAGGGAAGAGUAGAUAUAUUCCUUAUGUUUGUAGUAGUCGAGCAGAGGCAUUAUUGCGACGAGUACCACAAAAAAGGUGCAUUUUUGAUGUGACCAAGUGAAAAUGACAAACAUCAUAAUGCUAUUUCAUUUAGGUAAAUAAAGAAAAAUACAAAAAUUCAGCAUUACCGACUAACGACAAAAUUUGCAUCUUUAAUUGAACUUGCUCAUACCGAGGAAGUUUCUUUACAAUUUUUGGUAUAGAGUCAAAGAAAAGGUUGGUUUCGUUUCCACGGGUAAAUUUGUAACAUAGACGUAAUCAAUUUUUAUAUUGUUUUUAAAUUGUUCUAAUAGAAGGUGUUAGAUUUAUGGUUAAAAACUAUUAUAUUUUUUGUAUUUAUCACUGAUAUAUUAUCUACGUUAUUACAAUAAGAAAUGUGUCUUUAUCACUAAAAUGUAAAAACAAUUGAGGGAGACAUUCCAAAACGUGCUAUUAAUGUCACAUUCGUGUCACAGCCCGGAUAGUUGGAUAUUCCGGGGUAGAUCAGACGAUGUAACCGUUUGUCGAUCUGUGUUCUCGGCUUUCGUCUUGUCGGUCGUGGCACGGCUAUGGACUGGAACGGCCGUGGUGACUGGCGGAUUCUUCGGGUCGGCGCUCCUGAUUUUCCCGGUAAGUCUGGUCUUCGCGGUGGAUCGUCGUAAUUGGCUGCAAGCUGGCUGGUUGUGUAGCGUCUUGGCUGUGGCGUAGUAGUCUGGCUGUUGGCGGUCUUCGUUCCUUCAAUUCUUCUGUAUGAGUUAAGGUGUUGACUGUUUGAGAAGAUAUUGAAGACUGUUGAUUGUUCGGUGAAUUGCAUUGGUAUAUAUAACCGCUAAUUCACCGUUAACGUAUCUGAUUGGCUGUCAUUAUUCGGUAUGACGAGUUAUUACCGCUUCAUUGCCUGGUGGUUGCCGUUGGUAUGGUACGGUUUUCCUUCGUCAUACCGGUGAAAUAUACUUCUAUACAAUCUUCCCUUGGCAUGGUGUCUUGUGUAUGUUGUGUGCUAAUCUCUAUUGUUAGUGGUCCUGAAAAGGACCAUUUUAUGUUUUACUCUGUUACAGACUAUUACAGUAAAGCUACAUGUAUAACUUGAUUUCUUAAAAAAUGGCAAUAGCACGUUUUGGAAUGUCGCCCUUCAAUUUAAGUUUUAUUUUUUCGACUAAUUGUCUUAAAUUAUAAUAAUUUCUAUAUAUUUUUACAUUCAUGUAGAUAAAAAUUGUAUGUAGCUUAUGGUCCAACAACUAUAAUUUGUGUAAAUAUAUAAAUGCUUUAUUUUUUUAUGUAUAACAUCAAAUAUCAAAGAAAGUCAAGUAAUGUAAAAUGUAUCAAACCCAUUGGUGUAAAUUGCAACUGUGUUAUCUUUGUAUUAAGUUUAAAUUAUUUGUUAUAAUUUUAUUAAUCUAAGUCAUGCAUUUGAUAAUUGUUAAAUAUUUUUAGGUAUUUAUAUCUAAUAAUUCCAAGACAUUAUAUUAGAACCUCUAACAGAUAUUACACCAGAGAGCAAAUAACAAAUGUUUCUCUGAAGUAAUCUCAGAUAUUUAAUGUUUUGUUAUUACUAUAUAAAAACUGUUGGUUAUGAAAAAUAUAUUUUAUGUUAUAA